rnacentral:sRNA from 1 species
AAGUCGUAACAAGGUCUCCGUAGGUGAACCUGGGGAGGGAUCAUUACAAGAACGCCCGGGCUUCGGCCUGGUUAUUCAUAACCCUUUGUUGUCCGACUCUGUUGCCUCCGGGGCGACCCUGCCUUCGGGCGGGGGCUCCGGGUGGACACUUCAAACUCUUGCGUAACUUUGCAGUCUGAGUAAACUUAAUUAAUAAAUUAAAACUUUUAACAACGGAUCUCUUGGUUCUGGCAUCGAUGAAGAACGCAGCGAAAUGCGAUAAGUAAUGUGAAUUGCAGAAUUCAGUGAAUCAUCGAAUCUUUGAACGCACAUUGCGCCCCCUGGUAUUCCGGGGGGCAUGCCUGUUCGAGCGUCAUUUCACCACUCAAGCCUCGCUUGGUAUUGGGCAACGCGGUCCGCCGCGUGCCUCAAAUCGUCCGGCUGGGUCUUCUGUCCCCUAAGCGUUGUGGAAACUAUUCGCUAAAGGGUGUUCGGGAGGCUACGCCGUAAAACAACCCCAUUUCUAAGGUUGACCUCGGAUCAGGUAGGGAUACCCGCUGAACUUAAGCAUAUCAAUAAGCGGAGGAAAAGAAACCAACAGGGAUUGCUCUAGUAACGGCGAGUGAAGCAGCAAUAGCUCAAAUUUGAAAUCUGGCGUCUUCGACGUCCGAGUUGUAAUUUGUAGAGGAUGCUUCUGAGUGGCCACCGACCUAAGUUCCUUGGAACAGGACGUCAUAGAGGGUGAGAAUCCCGUAUGCGGUCGGAAAGGCGCUCUAUACGUAGCUCCUUCGAC